rnacentral:rRNA from 1 species
CCCCUAGUAACUGCGAGUGAAGCGGGAAAAGCUCAAAUUUAAAAUCUGGCRGUCUUUGGCYGUCCGAGUUGUAAUCUAGAGAAGUGUUAUCCGCGCUGGACCGUGUACAAGUCUCCUGGAAUGGAGCGUCRUAGAGGGUGAGAAUCCCGUCUUUGACACGGACUGCCAGGGCUUUGUGAUVCGCUCUCAAAGAGUCGAGUUGUUUGGGAAUGCAGCUCAAAAUGGGUGGUAAAUUCCAUCUAAAGCUAAAUAUUGGCGAGAGACCGAUAGCGAACAAGUACCGUGAGGGAAAGAUGAAAAGAACUUUGGAAAGAGAGUUAAACAGUACGUGAAAUUGCUGAAAGGGAAACGCUUGAAGUCAGUCGCGUUGUCCAGGGAUCAUCCUUGCUUUUGCUUGGUGCACUUUCUGGUUGACGGGUCAGCAUCAAUUUUGACCAUUGGAAAAAGAUUAGGGGAAUGUGGCAUCUUCGGAUGUGUUAUAGCCCUUAGUUGCAUACAAUGGUUGGGAUUGAGGAACUCAGCACGCCGCAAGGCCGGGUUUUUAACCACGUACGUGCUUAGGAUGCUGGCAUAAUGGCUUUAAUCGACCCGUCUUGAAACACGGACCAAGGAGUCUAACAUGCCUGCGAGUGUUUGGGUGGAAAACCCGAGCGCGUAAUGAAAGUGAAAGUUGAGAUCCCUGUCGUGGGGAGCAUCGACGCCCGGACCAGACCUUUUGUGACGGUUCCGCGGUAGAGCAUGUAUGUUGGGACCCGAAAGAUGGUGAACUAUGCCUGAAUAGGGUGAAGCCAGAGGAAACUCUGGUGGAGGCUCGUAGCGAUUCUGACGUGCA